GCCCGGUGUGUGCGGGCGUGGUGGGGCUGAAGAUGCCGCGGUACUGCCUGUUCGGGGACACGGUGAACACGGCGUCGCGCAUGGAGUCCACCGGGCUGCGUGAGUGUGACACCAAUGGGGACACUGAUGGGGACACAUGGACAUGGACAGACACACGGACAUGGACAUGGGGACAUGGAGACAGACACACGGACAUGGGGACAGACACACGGACAUGGGGACACAUGGACAGGGGACACGGUGAACACGGCGUCACGCAUGGAGUCCACCGGGCUGCGUGAGUGGGACACCAAUGGGGACACUGAUGGGGACAUGGGGACACAGGGACACGGCUGGGGACACAUGGACAGGGAUGGGGACACACAGACAUGGACACAGGGACAGGGACAGGGAUGGGGACACACAGACAUGGACACAGGGACAGGGACAGGGAUGGGGACACAUGGACAUGGACACAGGGACACAAGGACAGGGACACGGUGAACACGGCGUCGCGCAUGGAGUCCACCGGGCUGCGUGAGUGGGACAAUGGGGACACUGAUGGGGACAUGGGGACACGGCUGGGGACACACGGACACGGACACGGGGACAGGGAUGGGGACACACGGACACAGACACAGGGACACAGGGACAGGGACAUGGACACAGGGGACACGAACACGGCGUCGCGCAUGGAGUCCACCAGGCUGCGUGAGUGGGACAAUGGGGACACUGAUGGGGACACAUGGACACGGCUGGGGACACACGGACAUGGGGACAGACACACAGACAUGGACAUAGGGACAGACACACGGACAUGGACAUGGACACAGGGACAGGGACAGGGACACAGGGACACGGACAGGGGACACAGUGAACACGGCGUCGCACAUGGAGUCCACCGGGCUGCGUGAGUGGGACACCAAUGGGGACACUGAUGGGGACACAGGGACAUGGACAGACACACGGACACGGGGACAUGGACACCGGGACAGGGAUGGGGACAGACACACGGACAUGGACUUGGACACAGGGACAGGGAUGGGGACACAGGGAUGGGGACAUGGGGACAUGGACAGACACACGGACACGGGGACAUGGCUGGGGACAUGGACAGACACACGGACAUGGACAUGGACAGACACAGGGACAUGGGGACAGACACACGGACAUGGACGUGAGGACAUGGACAGACACACGGACAUGGACGUGGGGACAUGGACAGACACANCACACCCCUUCUUGGCCACGCCCAACAUGGCCAACGCUCAAUGGCCACGCCCCUGUGUUGGUCAAGGGUUGGGUGGUGGCCAAUGGUCAAUGGGUUAUGGUGGGUGGGGGCUGGUGGUUGUGAGGUGCUUGGCCACGCCCAUUGGUCACCCCCUUACAGGCCACGCCCACCUCAUGACUGUUCAUUGGCCACACCCCUUCUUGGCCACGCCCAACUUGGCCAAUUCUCAAUGGCCACGCCCCCUGUGUUGGUCAAGGGUUAGCCAAUGGUCAGUGGGUCAUGUUGGGUGUGGCCACGCCUUUGGUGACGCCCAUUGGUCACACCCUUACAGGCCACGCCCACUUUGUGCUUGUGGAGUGGCCACACCCAACUUGACCACGCCCAACUUGGCCUACGCAGUCGUGACCCAUUGGAUCCAUUUGGGCCACUCCCCUUCUGGGCCACGCCCCAAAGACCACACCCACUGUGACCACACCUUAACUGGCCACGCCCAUCCAUGACCACACCCAACUUGGCCACGCCCCUUUGGCCACACCCAACUCCUUGGCCAACCCUCAGUGCUCAUUGCCUGUUGACCCAACCCCUUCCAUGACCUCUCUUUGUGACCCCGCCCAUUUGUGACCACGCCCCUUUGUGACCACGCCCC
ensembl:lncRNA